UGGGGAAUAUUGCACAAUGGGCGCAAGCCUGAUGCAGCAAUGCCGCGUGAGUGAAGACGGCCUUAGGGUUGUAAAACUCUUUCGCUAGGGAAGAUAAUGACGGUACCUAGUAAAGAAGUCCCGGCUAACUCCGUGCCAGCAGCCGCGGUAAUACGGAGGGGACUAGCGUUGUUCGGAAUUACUGGGCGUAAAGCGCACGUAGGCGGACCAGAAAGUUGGGGGUGAAAUCCCGGGGGCUCAACCCCGGAACUGCCUCCAAAACUAUUGGUCUAGAGUUCGAGAGAGGUGAGUGGAAUUCCAAGUGUAGAGGUGAAAUUCGUAGAUAUUUGGAGGAACACCAGUGGCGAAGGCGGCUCACUGGCUCGAUACUGACGCUGAGGUGCGAAAAGUGUGGGGAGCAAACAGGAUUAGAUACCCUGGUAGUCCACACCGUAAAACGAUGAAUGCCAGUCGUCGGGUAGCAUGCUAUUCGGUGACACACCUAACGGAUUAAGCAUUCCGCCUGGGGAGUACGGUCGCAAGAUU
rnacentral:rRNA from 1 species